AGACGAUACGAAUCGUACCUUUAAUUAUUCGCACGCUCGCGAGUUUCGAAGGGAGAGGGAAAAAACAGGGGAGAAGAUUGUCGAAACUUUUCCCCCGAGUUCUUAACAAACUGUGCGACUGUUAUUGGCUGUACAAUCCGAUAUCUCCGACCAUCCAUUUCACAUACACAUCUCUUCCAUAUAUAUAUCCUCCGACCGUUUGAUUCCCUUCAUCUUCAUAGCCAACAGUAUAUUCAUUAGCGCAUAAAGAUUCUGAUGUUGAAGCGGAAGUAGUUAGAAGUAGUUAGCGGAACAGAUUUACCUGCUGACCAACAAGCAUCCCACCCAAAGCCAGAAAAACCAGGUAUCUCUUGAUAACGCCACGAGGGAGAGGCAAGGUCGAAACCCGAACAACAAAAAGACCAAAAGCGCAGUAACAAGAGUGAAAUAAAGGCCAAGUUUAUAACGUAAUCAAAACUUCAUUUAUUUCUGUCGAUCAAUAAUGAUCGCAUAUUAUUAUUUGUUCUUCAAAAAUUGUACAAACUUGUAUUUACAAAGUUAUGUCUUUUCUUUGUUCAAACAUUACUAUGAGAAAAGUUAAUGAUCUAUCUAAUGGCAUAAUUAGUGCAAAAUUAUAUUGCACUCUUAUGAGCAAUGUAUACAUCAUGGUAUAAUAUACAAAUCAUGCUAAAACUUAAUAAGACUUGAUUUAACGAAUUCUUGAUAAGAGAUUUAAUUGUAAAAAUAAAUUAAUUUAUAUUAAUUAAAAAAGAACGAGAAGAAAAGGAAUAAUUUUAAUAUUUUAAAACGAUACAGUAUUUCAAUUUCGAUAAUACUAUUAAAAUCUGAUAAAAAAUCUAGAUGUUUGUAAAAAGAGUCAAAUUGAUGAUUACAAAAUUAAGCAAACAUUGGUUAACACAUAUACUGCAAAUCCCGUCAAUUAACUGGGUAAAUUAUUCAGAAAAGACUCACGUCUCUUUAGUGCAAUUGAGACUAAUACCGUGAAUCGUGACAUGAUUACGGAUCCCAACUGACCAAAGAGGAUUCUAAUCUGCAAAGAUGAGCAAUUCAGACAAUUAUAUAUACGAAGUUCUUUUAAUAAAUUCUGCCCCGUAUGAAUUAUAAAAUGGCAUUACCUCUUUUUCCGCACUUGUCAUUACAAUUUUGAUGAUAAGAGAAUAUCGGAGUAAAAAAUUACGCGUUAAUCAUGUUGUAAAAUUCUCACAUUCGCGAGAAAUAUUCUUCUUGGAGCAAAAAGAAAUUAACUCAUUAAACAGAAAGAUGAUCAAAUAAAAAAAAAAUUAAAAAAAUUAAAAAAAUUAAAAAA